GACGAACGCUGGCGGCGUGCUUAACACAUGCAGGUCGAACGGAAAGGCCCUGCUUUUGUGGGGUGCUCGAGUGGCGAACGGGUGAGUAACACGUGAGUAACCUGCCCUUGACUUUGGGAUAACUUCAGGAAACUGGGGCUAAUACCGGAUAGGAGCUCCUGCUGCAUGGUGGGGGUUGGAAAGUUUCGGCGGUUGGGGAUGGACUCGCGGCUUAUCAGCUUGUUGGUGGGGUAGUGGCUUACCAAGGCUUUGACGGGUAGCCGGCCUGAGAGGGUGACCGGCCACAUUGGGACUGAGAUACGGCCCAGACUCCUACGGGAGGCAGCAGUGGGGAAUAUUGCACAAUGGGCGGAAGCCUGAUGCAGCAACGCCGCGUGCGGGAUGACGGCCUUCGGGUUGUAUACCGCUUUCGCCUGUGACGAAGCGUGAGUGACGGUAAUGGGUAAAGAAGUACCGGCUAACUACGUG
rnacentral:rRNA from 1 species